GAAGCAGCCCCAGCUGGCAAAAAACAAUACACUCCUGUGGCUGCAGGCUCUGCCCUUUCCUGCCUCCUGGCAGCCUGGCUCCAUAGCGCUGAGGUUGUCCUGGGCUGAACUCAUCAGAGGCCCUCCCGCUUUCAGACAGGCCAAAGUUGUUCCAGUGAUAAUAAGGCAGCAUGGGGAUGUGCAUGGAUUCCAUGGCCAGAAUGUCUAGAUUCAAACCUCAGCUCCACCACUUACCACUUCUGUGAUGUUGGGUCCUUCACAGAGACGAUGACCACUAGGGGUCAGACUUUUUACAUUACUCCCCUUGAAAGAAGGAACCCAAGUCUUGGAUCUUUUAACUGGGAAAACACUAGAGAAGUCAUCUAUCCUAUGCCAGCUGAACAGGUGACUGAAUCUAAAGGUCAGUGCUCGCCUUGGCAGUCAACACCCUGAUGCGGGCAGAGUUGCAGGUCUUGCAGAGGAUGUGCCCAUCCAAGGGGUAGCAGCCUUGGUUAUCUCCCUCAGACAGGAGACCACCACAAUCCUAGAACAAUAAAAGCAGAUGGAAACGAUGAAUUGACACAAGACGACUCAGAUACAUCGCUUUUCAAAAGGGCAGAGAUUAAUUCGCUGAAAAUAUAGGCCAUGUGUCUAUCUGUAUCUUCUAGAAACUAAAGGUGGUGUUUGUGAAGGUAUGAAAUGAUACUUGAUUUGAAAUGGACAUGGAUAAGAACUGAAGAGAUUUAAAAAAAGAAAAGCAGAUUAUGCGACUCAGUUUUUUCAUGGUAAUGGUUUUAAGAUAAAUGAUGUGAAAAAUUUAUGUAUUUGUAGUGAGACUUAAAAAGAAAUAAUGAUAGUAAUCUAAUACUUUGCAGAGCACUUUAUGGUUGUCAAAGCAGUUUUACAUCCAUUAUACUCUAUAUGUACAUAUUAAUUUUCCUGGUAGCACCCAAAAAGCAUCUGUACGGCUGCAAUCUAAAUAAAUAUGAAUUAAGCAGCAGAUCAAUUGAUUGCUAUGAUAGACGAAUGAAAAGGAUCCUGGUACCACUGCAGCAGCAAUCAGAGUUGUUAUAAUUGGUAUUUUAUGAAAGAAGUUUAUAUUCAGUGGCAAAAAACAUUUGCUCUGGACUACCAGAUUAUUUUUAAAUCUGGGUCAUCAGUGGUGAGGUAAGCAGGCUUCUGGGAUCAACUGCGAAAUCUCCCUUCCCCAAUCUCUUGGAGGGCAGAAGUAUGUUUUCUUUAUGAAUGUAUCCAUAAGCCUUCUCCAAUUUCCCCAGAUAGAAUUAUUUACUCCUCUAAGAUAAAAAUUCUGUCAUGAAGUUUAUUUAUUUUGGUACUCAUUAUUUGGAUAGAUCUAUGCACUGCUAACCUCUAAGCUUCCACAAGAUGGGACUUUGCUCCAUCUCUGAGUCCCAAGAAAUGACGACUGUGACUGGUGCAGAAAGAAGAAAGUUGGGCUAACUCUAUUGAAAUGAAUCUGCCAUCUAUCUCUAUAAAAAAGAUAUUAGCUGGGUUUUAUGUUCAACCUCAAGGUUCUUCCUCUUUAGGAAGACAUAAACUGUAUUCUUGCUGAGUACUGAUUCUUUCCUACCAAUUGGCCUCAUUUCCAUGAUGAGAAAAAGCAAAGCGAAGAGGCGGGAGGUGGUUCUCAUCGUCCCCACAGUGUUCCUCGGAUAGCAGUUCAGGGAGGGUUCGCAAUCCCAGGUGGUCCAUUUCAAGGCUUAGCUCACUGAGUGGACGAUAAUCAUAAAAAUAAAUUUGAUGAAGACACUGUUGAUGAUUAAAGCUACCAUUUAUUGACAGCUUAUUAUAUGCCAAGCCCUGUUAAGCGCAUUACACACUUGACAUUAUUUUCUCCUGACGGCAACAUUAUGAGGAAGUAUUUUUAUCAUUUCUGCUUUACAGUCAACAGAGCCAAGGCUCAGAGAGGGAUGAUCUUAGUCAUCUUGUAUUCUGGCAUGUUUCUGGCAAUUAACAAAUGGAUGCUGAUUAAAUACAUAAAUGAAUGAGGGUAAUAUUCCUGAUAAGAAAGCACAGACAGGCGAAUAAAGCCUCACCACACAGAAAGAGUCAGUUAAAUAAAUCUGCUUUCUGGGUUUUCUCACUAGGAAUACAAGAAUAAGAAAAGACUUCCAGUACAGACCUGAGAGAGAGUUCUAUAUAUUUCUGCAUUAUUUAUAUUAAUUUAUAUAUACAAAUCAUAUUGUAAAAACACAAAAAUGAUAUGAUUGUAAGGUUUUAAACACACACACAUAUGUACACACACAUACAUACAUGUAUAUUUCUAGUAUAUUCAUGUAUAUUUCUAUAUACACAUACAUACUUGUAUAUUUACCAGUCAGACUGUGGUAAGUGCUAUCUACAGCAGAUGUGAAAAUCUCUAUAAAACACAGAGAUUAAGAUGUAAAUCCAAACAUGAGGGGUGUAGAUCAGGUAAGUGUCCUUUGAGGAAAUGGUAAUUGAGUUGGGACUUUAAAUGUAAUGAUUUAGGUGAAAUGAGAAAAUGUGUAUGUGUGUGUUCAGGUCAGGGAGAUAGUCUUCUAGGAAACAGUCAGUAGUGGUUGCAGCAGUCAUCUGAAAUGACAUCUGUCUAAGUUUGCAUGUCCAGUAGGAUGGAGGAUAUGAACCACCACUGACUAAAGGUGGUUAUGUAGAGGAUGGUCCAUUAACAAUGCCUCACAAACAGUAUUCCAGAACCUUGUUACUCAAAGUGCAGGGCAUGGCCACCUAGGAGCUUGACAGAAAUACCGAAUCUUAGGCCCCACCCCAGAUCUGAAUUACAACGCAAAGUUUUACAAGAUCCCUCUAUGGAUUAUAGGCACAUUAAAAUCUGGGAAGCACUGGUUUAAAAGGCAGACUAAGGCUGGAUGCAGUGGCUCAUGUGUGUAAUCCCAGCACUUUGGGAGGCCGAGGUGGGUGGAUCAUCUGAGGUCAGGAGUUCAAGACCACCCUGCCCAACAUGGUGAAACCCUGUCUUUACUAAAAAUCCAAAAAUUAGCCAGGUGUGGUGGCAGGUGCCUGUAAUCUCAGCUACUUGAGAAACUGAGGCAGGAGAAUCACUUGAAUAUGGAAGGAGGAGGUUGCAGUGAGCUGAGAUUGUGCCACUGCAUUCCAGCCUGGGCCACAAGAGUGAGAUUCCAUCUCAGUCAGUCAAUCAAUCAAUCAAAGGCAGACUAAGCAAGUGAGAUAAAUCCCUUCUUAUGGGUCUCCUGUAUCUCAAGGUAAACUCCACUCCCAGUCUGCUCUAGUUACAGCAAAGCAAAUCUCCCUGAACCUAGAGAACCCUUUCCUAACUCUGUGCCCCUGGCUAAAAAGUCUGAGUUAUUCCCUCUGCCAGGAAUCUCCUUGUUUCCCACUUAAAACACUCUUGAAAUUCUCCUUCUGCAAAGCCUAUUCUGACCAUAGAGCCAAGGGAUCUGACUUUGACAGGGCAAGCCCUUACCUGUGCCUGUCUCAUGGAGUUCAGCCCUUUCUCCCUGUCUGCACACUUUCUCUGCCCUCCUCCUGGCAAGCUGCUUGCUGACAGCGACUUCUCUAUAUAUAUCUGUGCAAUUUCUCUCCUGUAUCUCUCUCCUUCAGCAUUUAAUGCAGCAGUUGGCACAAGAGGGUUCUUUAUAAAUGUGAGUUGAACCAAAUUAAAAUACAUUUUCUAAAGGUUCACAAUAAGGGAUUCACUCAAAAUGACCACAAACACGGCCCCAGAAAACUAUCUGGAGCAGGAACAUCCCUUUAUCUGCCCUCUCCUUGGUCUUUCAGUAAUCAGCCAAUGCUGGACUUUUAGCUGCUUUGUAUUCUAGUAAUUUUAAGGCUCAUAAAUAAGAGUUCUGUGAAACAGUUUGUGAUUUCCCUUUAGGAAAUGGGGAAAGGAUCAAAAACCUCUCCCUACCUACCUACCAAUCAUGAAGACAAUGUUAUUAUUACUUUUAAUUUAUGUUUGAACAUGUAUUGAACUAGUGGGGAAGGUUAGCAGGGUGUUUUAAUUUUUCCCCCCUUUUAGAUGCUCAAGUCGGCUUUUUGGGAGAUUUCAGACUCACACACUUAUGUCACCAGUCACCAGUCUUUAAUUAUGCUCCCUACCCCUAGACAUGAAAGAUAAAUGGCAUAGAUAUAAACUUACAUUUGUCAAAAUUGAUUUCCUGUUUUAAUUGAGGGGUGUAACAUAUCAGUCUUUUCCAGCAACAGAAACAUGUGUGCUCUGAUUAUAUCUAUCAGUCUUUCUUGGAUUAGGGUAAGUCUAAGAAAGGAGAGAAACAAUGACAGAACAUACUCCCCACUGAUAUCUUUUUCACUUCCCUUAAAUAGAUUCAGGGUUUUUUUUCAAUGUGUAAUUACAAGCUAAAAGUAUCAAUAUGUGAAGUACAAUUUAUGCUGUGACUGCCCUUUAAAAGUGAUUCUUUCCUUGUCUAAUUCAGGUUGUAAAUUUCUGCCUCUGGGAUUUUUUAAUUCAUUCAACCUCACGUCCUUUGGUGAGGUUUUCACUUUCUUUGCUACUUGGAAAGUGGUCAGGAAAUUCAUUUUUAAAAUAUGAGUCCCAGGUCUCCAAACCGCUUGUGGUAAGUGUUUCCUGGUUGUUGACAAUCAACACAGUGGUGAAAAUUAACUCAUAAGACUGUACACUUGGAGGCCAUAGAAUGGAUACCCAACUUGGUGAGUAAUACAAGCUCCAUCUCUUUGAUAGCUACAAAGGCUGUCUUCAAAGCCACUACCCAGCAAAUACAUACAGAAACCUGAGUCCAGCAUUUGCAGAUCACAUCUAUGGGUGGAAUACAGUCCUUAAAAAUAUAAAACAAAUGUUGGCCGGGCACAGUGGCUCCUAACUGUAAUCCCAGCUCUUUGGGAGGCCAAGGCAGGUGGAUCACUUGAGGAUAGGAGUUAGACAUCAGCCUGGCCAACAUGGCAAAACUUCAUCUCUGCUAAAAAUACAAAGAUUAGCUGGGCAUGGUGGCACAUGCCUGUAGUUCCCAACUACUCAGGAGGCAGAGGUAGGAGAACUGCUUGAGCCCGGGAAGCAGAGGUUGCAGUGAGCUGAGAUCACGCUACUACACUGCAGCCUGGGCAACAGAGUGAGACCUUGUCUUAAAGUGUGUGUGUAUGUGUGUGUGUGUGUGUGUGUGUGUGUGUGUGUAACAAAUGUUAUCAACCAAUUAACUAACAAACUGGCCAAAUAAAAAUAAGCAAAAUACAAAGCUGUAUAAUUUUCACAAAGACUCCCACUGUAAUACAGAAAAGAAGGACCUAGAAAUGAGAGAAAUGAAGCAGCGUGGAUGUAUCUUUUUGGGCUUAUGAGUAACUGUUUUUGAUCUUGAGGCAUCACUUUUUAAUCCUCCUGAAAAGAACAUUUACAUUCAUUAAUUUUAUUAAAAAUAACUUGAGAGAGAGAAGACUUGGGUGGAAGAAAAGGUCAGGGAAGGGAGUGAAUAUGUUGACAAUGGCAUGAAACAGCCUCUGAAUAUGUGAGAAGCUUGUAUUAAUAAUAGAAACUGAACGGUUCUCUGUGUUUGUCCCCCAUACCUUCUUAUCAGUAGAGCGGUAGGGAUGUAGAGAUUAGCUCUUGAGAAAAGUCUGGGUCAUCACAUCUGAGAGAGCUUUAGGAGAAGGUUUGGUCUAAUGACCAAAUUGAAGAGCUCAAAUAAUUUCAGCAAUGGCCAAAUAUCACACAUUUUGUUGAUAUUUAGGCCAGGACCCUGUUUCUUUCUAAUACAUACACACUAUGGCUGAGCCAACUUUUUCAUGGAGUUACCCAGAGAUGCAAUGGAGAAGCUCUGGGGAAGCCUUGAUCCAGAGGCCAGGCUGGAUGACUGCAUGAAUUGUCUGAUAUUAAUUCUGGCAUUAGAUGAGGAAAUCAAUAAGUUCUUUUAAAGGCCUCACUAAAUCCUGAAAUGUUAUAGUUCUGAGAGAGAAGAAUGUAUGCCCAUAUGCCAGGCAGUAAGAGCAGACUCUAAAAGGAUAGGCAGGGUGGAAAUGAGAGUAGGUUGCCUACCUGUGGAAGUCCUCAAUGCAGUGAAUCAGCCCGCCAGCAUCCACAGUGAAUGGGAUCCCAUCCAAGCUGCGGUGGCACAUCACGCAGGUGAAACAGUGAGGAUGAUAGGCCUUCCCAGUGGCUCGGAGGAUCCGCUCCAUGAUGGGCUUGGAACACACAUUGCACUGCUCCAGAGUAUUCUGAGGAAGGAAACAAAAGCAGCCUUAGACGGGGACAGAAGGAAGUCCAUACUGCAUGACAAGCAGCUUCACAAUACAGCUUGUCUCAGGUCCUUGUCACACUGCUCUUCAGAAGGCAUUUCUUACCGUUUACAAAUCACAUCUACAGCUUUAAAACAGCCCUUAAAAGUAUAAAACAGGUGUUAUCGACCAGUGAACAAACUGGCCAAAGAAGUGAAUUAUAGAGAGAAAGAAGCACAAUUGGAUGGGUCAAGUGGCUUUUCUAGUAUCAUUCAGGUAGGAGGUGGCAAGCCCAGAACUGAGAACACAUGUUUUCUGACUUCUAUCGUUGUUCCUUUUCUUGUUUCCUAUAGCAAGGGUGACGGCAAACUUUUCAGAAAGUCCCAUAUCGUAAAUGUUUCUGGCUUUGGUGUAACAACGAAAUCUUGCUGUUAUAGCUGGAAAGCAGCCACAGACAGCAUGCAAACACAUGGGCAUGACUGUGUGCCUGUAACAUUUUCUUUACCAAAAACAGACAGUGGGCUGGAUUUGACCCAUGGCUAUGGUUUGUUGACCUUUGAACUACACCACUCAGCUUCCCCAUUUGAAGAAUCCUUCACUAUUACAUCUAAAAUUCAUGAUCAAAGACACAGAGUGAUCACUAAGGCCCCUAACUUUUUACAGAGUCAUCUGUCAGAUGACUGGGACAGAGCAAGCUAGAUACAGAACCCAAAUCAGAGCUCAGCAUAAUAAAUGAGGCUUCCGAGCACUUAAAGCCUUGAUUCCCACUCCAUCUCCAGGUUUAGAGUUCAUAAACUCUUGAUAGAAAUGUAGAAUGUACAAGGGAGCUGGUUUGGAAAAGUGAAUUAAGAAACUCAUUUAUCUGGCCUUAAAAAUAUGCUAAGCUUUAAAAAUACAUAGCAUCCCUUAAAAGAGGUAUCGCUUGGCUAGGUGCAGCGGCUCAUGCCUGUAAUCCCAGCACUUUUGGGAGGCUGAGGCUGGUGGAUCACGAGGUCAAGAGAUCAAGAUUGUCCUGGUCAGCAUGGUGAAACCCUGUGUCUACUAAAAAUACAAAAAUUAGCUGGGUGUGGUGGUGUGCGCCCGUGAUCCCAGUUACUCGGAAAUCUGAGGCAGGGGAAUCACUUGAAUCCAGGAGACAGAGGUUGCAGUGAGCUGAGCUCAUGCCACUGCACUCCAGCCUAAUGACAGAGUGAGACUACAUCUCAAAAAAAAAAAAAAAAAAGACACACCACUUAGUGAGUUAGAUCUCAGAAAGAUCGGCUGUUACCUUUCCACCGUCCCCUUUAAUCCCAUACUCUUACCAAACUACCAUGUUUCAGAUGUAAAAUGCUAUAUUCCAACUGAGAUAUGUGGACUAACUCAUUGAGUUUACAAUCUGGAAUAAACCUGGGAAAUGAAUCUCAUUAGAAAGCUGCAGAACUGAAUGGGAUGUGGAAAUUCAGGAGUAACUGCUCUCUUACCAUGAGGAUAUAUAAAUGGCUAUGUAGCAAGAAGUUCUCUAUGUAGGUAACUAGUGUCCUCAUGUCUCUCUUCUUAUAAUACUCUCCUUGCCCCUGUCUCCAAUGACUUCCAGUUUUCUUUUUAAACACAGAGGCGAUCAAGUACAAAUACCUUUCUGGAUAACAAAAUCUCAAAGGCUCCACAAUCUAAAAAAAGCUAAUUCUUUACAUGGUAUCCAACUCCCGCUUCUAAGCUCAGCUUCUCAUAACAUCCCAGACUACUCACUCUUGUACAAACCUAUGUGAAACUUCUGUGCCUUGGCUAAUGCCUAGAUGUAUCGCAUAUUGCCAUUCUGACUUUUCAAGGUACAGGCCAGAAGACCAAUUCCCCAGGGAAGCCUUCCUCAAUGGUCCCACCUGGAAUGAAUUGCUUCUUUCUCUCCCAUUCCUGAGCACUUUAUUUACUUUGCUGACAAUACUUCAAGUGUGCACUUUAUUUAAAUUUUUUGUGCACAUGUCUAUGUCCUCUACCAGACUAUAAUUUUAUUCGGUGAAGACACUAUGCCUUAAGAAUGUAUUUCUCUGUCCCUACUGAACCCAGUAUAUUGUCUGAAAUAGAAAUAAGCCUGAGACAAAUGUGUGCAAAAACAAUGAAUGAAAGAAUAUUGUUUAUAUCCCACUCUGGCAGCACAGUGCUGGCCUGACUCCCUUAACUCUGGAAUCCAUCCCAAGAUGAAUUGGUAAAUCCAUCAUCAUCCUUCCCUCAGAGCUGCGGCUGCCUGAGGUUCUGAAAUUGCGUAGUAUGCCUCUGGUCACAGUCUAAACGCAUGGAAACUAUUAACCUAUUUGUUUUUCCCAUUUUGAAGUGGUGAAAUUAAAAUAGCAGAAGAGGACAGAAUAAGAGUCUGGAGAUGAUGAUGGUUUGAAGAAUGAGGGCCUGUUUCUUUUCUGCGCUGACAAUCUGAGCUAAUGUGGCUGGAAAUUGUCUUCCCAGGACUUAUGUUUUGCUCCUCUGUGGGUUUUUAUCUUUUUUUUUUAAGUCAUAAUGGAGUUGAAUAACCAGAAACUGUUUGACCAGAAAAUGUUUUUGUUUGCAUUGAGGCUUGGCUGCAAGAUUCAGCUCAUUUACUCAAAACUAGCAGCAAUAUAGAAGGCUUGGUUUCUAUGGAAAGACUUUGUGGUCUAUAGAAGCUGUAUUCAAAGGACAGGUAAUACAAACAUUUCUGAAACAGAGGGGAAACAAGUAUAAAAUAUGCUUAGAAUCAGCCUGUUGCAAAAUGUCCCCAAAUUAGAAAAUAAUGUUUUCAAGAAUGCAGUCGAUGGUAUCCCAGGCUAGUGAGUGAUGUAGGACAUGUUACCUUUCACUAGCCUGCACCUUUUACUGCAGUCUUCCCCUUUCAGUCUCCAUUGGGGCCCACUAGCAGCCAUUGAGAAAGGAAAGAAACUCACAAUGUCAGGGAGGAGGGGGCUGGGAGUUUCCCUAGUCCAAGCUCUCAUUCCACAGGUGAGCAGAGAGACUUUGAAAACAGAUCUGCUGGACCUGAGCUGUGGAGCGCAUGGGAGGCAGCAGUGGGACUGGUACUCCAGUUACCUGACUCCCAUGAAUUCAGAGAAGGAGCUAAGGCAUUCAUUAUGUAGCCAUGAAAAAGGAAAGUUGCUAGGUGAAGAAUGUGAAUUAUCCUUAUGGCUUUGUCAAAAUCUGCUGUAUGACCUUGGGUAAAUAAUUACCUCCUUCCAUCUCAGUUUCCUCAUUUGAAAAAUGAUGAUUAAUUCAAACUCUAUAAUUUUAUUAAUCUGUGAUAAAUCAAUAUUAACAACGCUCGGAAAAGGCACAUGUUUACAUUACUAGAGAUAUACAAAAACAACUGAUAACCCCUUACCAGAGAAAGGGGUGCUCAUUUGCCAGAAACUUGGACUACAUUACCUUUACUAUGCACCUCCACUGAUAAUUCCAGAAACUGCUAAUGGUAGAAUUUGAAGGAUCAUAGAAGGAUAUUUUUGUGUUAUAGAUGAUUAUUUUAAAGCCAGACAAAAAGAUGCACACUCUUCAUAUAAAUAUUGGGUUCAUCUGAACUAAGUUAACAUGAAAUGGCUGACAAAUAAAAUGGUUUUGAAGAAAAAGAAAGUCUUCAAGCAAAUAAAUGAAAGAGGGAUGUCUCUAAAUAUGUCUAUUCAAAUCACAUUUUUUUUUUCUCCUAGGGUUGCCAGGUUUGAUAGCUGGGGAUUUAAGAGGAAAGAGCACCUUCCAGCUUACGAACCUUCAAUAUCAGCACUGUGCUUUGUGACUGGACUCCUGAACCAGCUUUAUUGCUGUCUCAUGGACUCCUCCUUCCAGCUGCCACAUGGAGCUUUCUGCCAUGUCUUUAAUAAGCAACAUUCUUUUACAAGCCCAGACUAUCUUACACCCUACUUUGCCUGUUAGAGAAUGCCUACUCAUUCUUCGAAGUGAAACUCAAAUGUCACCUCUUGUGAAAAAUCUUUCCUAAAUCUUUUUCUGUUGUAUUCCAAGCAAAAUAAGGAACUUCUUCCACUCCCAUAGGAUUGUAUUAUGUGUCCCCUGUGACACUGAACACAAUGUACUUGAUUUAGUGGUUUAUGUCAACCUCUAUGACUAAACUGCAAUCGCUCUUCCCUCCUCCCAUGAAGCCUUAGUCUGAGGUUGUGUUUCCUAGGAAACAAGGUCUGAAACAGAUUUGCACACAGUUAUGAAGACGUGUCCUUGCAAUCAACACCUGCGGGAAAGUAUAGGAAGUCCUUACACUUCUUAAACUUCCUGUUCCUAUUGUGGAUACUCUAUCUACAGUAUCCACAAUACUAAGCAUCCUUGCCCAGGGACCAUAAAGUCCAUGACACAAAGUAAAUAAUUGGUAACCAGCUGUGGAAGGCCUCUGGCCAAAGCUGAAUGAAGAAUCCAAAUGUUAAUCAUUUUGCAGCAGGCACUGUUUAAGGAUUUUUUUUUUCCCAUAAAAAAUGUUUUAGGUUACUCCAAUGAAAGUAUGCUUAAAGUGAGAAGAUGUAAGAGUAGCAAGAAAAAGCAAUUUCUGUUGCUAAAAGUCACAGCUUAUCAACUUUUCUGAAAUGUUGGCAACACAAUUGUGAUUAAAAACAACACACUCAGUGAAACUAAAAAUUAAAUCACAAAUAAACUUUGUACAGAAAACUCCCAUAUGCAACUGUUUUAAAGUCAGGGAGACAAUGGGGUUGUAUUUUUUCUAUCCUUGGAUAUUUUAUAAAUAACGUGUAACUCACAGGCAGAAGAGCUAAAGAAUCGCCUGAAUAUAAAUGAAGCAUACAGGUAAAAUAAACAUGAACUACUAAUGAGAUGAUAGAGAAAUAAGAAUAUUACCAUUAUUUAUAUAUUACAUAGAUGCAUGUAAGUGUUCAAUUUUGAGUAUUUAAAAUCAAGAUAUGUAGUCUUCAUUUACAUAAGUAAUUGAUGAUUCAGAAGACUACAAAGUGAUUACUGCCAUUUAGAAAUGUUAACAUUUUUAUUUUAUAAAAUUAAAAUGUGAUCUUAUAUUCAUCUUUAUCUUUUAAAGGUACAAAAACAAUAUUGUGAAACAGGAAAGACUCUUGGAAAGAUAAGGGGUGAUAGCUCAUGAUCUAGAUACAGUUUUGGUCUUGUUGAGAUAAGGACAAAAAGAAAAAAGAGAGAGUUAGAAGACAUUCAAUCUUCAAAAGUCUUUACAGAUUACACUAGCCCAGGAAUUUUCAACUCCUUUCACUUGGCCAUUCACCCACAACCCUUUCUUCAGGGAAACAAUUUAUUUAAAAAAACAAAAAGCACACACAAAAGAGCUCCAAAUCACCUCAGGCUGAAGCACAUAAGGAUGAAACCUGUGGGAGGAUGCACAUUGUACUAUCUGAAAACCUUCAUUCUAGUCCAACUGCUGGAUUCAAAAAUCUAAGGUAUAGAUAGGGAACACAGCUAGUGACAGAUUGGGAGUUAGAAUACAGGUCUCCUAAUUCUCUGUCCAAUGGAGACUCUCUCCGCUAUAUCACAUUAUACUGAUUCUAUACAUCAGCAGACACCCUCUGUAUUUCAAAUAGAAAGAAGACAUUCAGGCUUAUUAAAUGCAAGUUACAUGCAAAUAAAUAGAGAAAACAUAUUAAGAUCUUAUGACAGUUUUUCUGCUAAACUCCUACAGGAUAAGAGAGAAAACUCAUUGCUGGAUCCCAAGCAUCUACAACAGUAAGCUUGUAUAAAAUUAAUGCUCCACAAAUAUCAGUUAGUUAAUGAAUUAAUAUACUUCAGGUAAGUACUUCAUAUAAAAUAAGUUUUUAAGUUUUUGUUUUUCUAUUUAACCAUGCAAAACCACUCUCUAGUGUAGAGCUUCUCAACUGGCAGGUUAACAGAAAAUGUACUUCAGGUGGGUUCCAGGUGGACCAUAUUUGGGAGGGUUCAGGGGGACCAGAGGUGUCCAGAGUUCCUGAGUGGUUGCCUUGGGAUAGGAGAGAUCUCAUCCACUUACGCCAGUGUGCUGAAUGAAUGCCAUCAUUUUCCACACGAACUGUGAUGUGAAAAAGGUUGGGAGAUACAGCUCAAGUGUGGGUAGGUGUUCCCAACAGAAUGGCAAUAUGGCACAGUAAAAAAGGAGCAGGGCUAUGACUCAGCCAAUUUCUCUUGAAAUGCCAGUGCCAUUACUUGAACUUCAAAUACUGCUAUUGCCUAACUUAAUUAUGGAAUACAAACUUAUUAUACCUUGACUCUGGUAAUCAAGAAUGUUUUCCAAAUGAUGGCAGUACUUUUGGGUUUCCUUUGCAGGUGAAGAUACCAUUUUAACUUGGUAGUUCUAACGACCCUAUACUACAUAACCUUUCAACAGCUUCUGCCUUCCCGAGAGACAUGCAUUUUUUUAUUAACAUUUCUCUUGCUCUUUUUAAUGUCCUUUGCCUAUAUCUUAAUCUAAGUUGAUAUUUGUAUCUGCAUGUUAUGUGUGUUUUGAAACAGACUGUAAAUAAUAAUUGCAAGCUUCAUAGCAUCCCAUCCCUAUGACUGUGACUUUUCAAAGAAUCAAGAUUCUUCUUUCACAGAUGAAACUUUUCCUAAUAGGAAAAGUUUUGAAACAAUUUAUUAGAUAGCAUCAAAUCUCUAAACUGUAUUUUCUUUUGAUGUCAUGACAUACCCCCCCAACCCCUGAAAAUGACAGCUAUGAAACACAUACCUAAAAAUUCAGUAAAAUAAUUUCAACUUUUUUUUUGUUAACCUUUUGGAGUAUAACUUUUUGCCUCCAGUGCUUAUAUUGCCUCAGCUUUCUUACAAACCCCCUUUAAACAAACUUUUCAUAUGCAUCUCUAAAGAGUAGAGCUGGCUUCUCACUUAUUCUAAUAUUGCAGAAAGCCUAAAGAGUGGAACAAAGUGUUGAGCACUGGCAGGUACAGGGGAAGAGAUAGAAGACAGAGACGCUGUCCCUGCCCUCAAAGGUUCCCACAGCAGUGAGACAGAUGGACACAACUAUUAAUAUUCGAUUCUAGGCAAAGGCCAUGGCAAAUCGCUAUCAAUGAGGCACGAGUAAUGAAUGAUGGGAACACAGGGAAGAGAGCAAUUACUUACGAGUGGUGAGAGAGCAGGCAGUAUGGUAUGGUGGUGGUUCGUGACUUUCUAAGACUCCAUUGCAGUUGGGAUUUGAUUUGGGACUUAAAAAAAAAACUUACUUUAACCCACUUUGGAAUUAAUGUUUUGUUACAACAAGAGUCUUCACUAUCUAAUAUUCUUUGAGAGGAGUCACAGAUAAGCCUGCACUGAAACAAAUUCAUUUCACAGGAAGAAUACUGGAACGAAGUCUGUGAAUUGAGCAGUGAGAGCUGAUGACUGUGCGUCAGCCCUUCAUGCCACGGGCAUAAUGAACAGAUCACAGAAGACUAAGACUAUCAUGAGAGGGAAACAAAAGAAUUGAGUUCCUUUCCUUCCAAGACAAGUGAAGGGGAACUCAAUAUUGCCAGACAUGAACACCGUGUUUUAACUAGCACAGACAAAGCCUAUGUGUUACUAUUAAUAUAGAAUUUAGAAAAACAAUUCUUUUCUUCUAAAAUGUUCUGUUUGUAUUUGAACUAUACAAACUGGCUUUAAAAUUAAGAAAUAUGCCCUAAAACCAUAAGGAAAAAGCCAGCAGAAAGAACAAAAGGAUCAGGGCAAUUAGGCCGUUCUGUUCAAUUUUGCCAUGAGCUAUAAAUCACAUUCUUCACAAAGUAAAUUAUGUCCUGUUUUUUUAUUCUUAAGCACUAGGGUUAGGAAUGUGAUCUGAGCUUGCGAGUAAAUCAGAAAAGAAAAUCUCAAUUAUAGAACAUUUAGUUUAUCUGUACCUUAGUGCCCAGGGAGGUAAUAUUUUACCUUAAAAUGUGUAACCCAUGUGGCAUGCUAGGUCUUCCAAAACACUUCUCUUAAAUGUCUUCUAAUCUUUAAAAAAUGUGGGGCAGGGGAAAGGGGAGUGAGAGCUGGUGAUUGUGUAUCAGACCUUCAUGCCAUGGGCAUAAUGAACACAUCAGAGAAGACUAAGACCACUGUGAGAGGGAAAGAAAAGAACUGAAUUCCUUUCCUUCCAAGACAAGUAAAUGACAGAUUUUGCCUUUACAACAUAAGUCAUGUGAAGACUUAUUAACUCAGCAGUCAAAGAAGGUCUGCCAUAUUACAGUAAGAGAAUUAGUGAAGCAUUACUAACAUGGUGACCUGGGUUCAAAAAGCUAGGCAAUUUUCUUGACCUUUCUGGCCUUUGGUUUCCUCAUCUACUAAACAUGAGUGAAAUGUCUACACUGCAGUGCUGUGAAGUUUCAAUGAGUUCUCAUAUUAUGAAAGCGAGAACCCAGAGUCCUGACUAUAUAAGAAACGUUGGUUUUAUAAAUUGUCUAUACAAGGGAAUUGAAGGGGCUAGGACACUUAUUCAAUUAACUUGUCAUCCUUUAAUCAUUUAAUGUAACUACCACAUUGAAGCACUGUAUUUCUAAUUUCUAUAAUUCUUUUCCUUUCACCAUUAAUUCUCCUAUACUUUAUAUCUGUCUUUUUUUUUUUUUUUUUUUUUUUUUGAGACAGAGUCUCACUCUUGUUGCUCAGGCUGGAGUGCAGUGGCACAAUCUCCACUCACUGCAACCUCCACCUCCCGAAUUCAAGUGAUUCUACUGCUUCAGCCUCCUGAGUACUCCUGAGUAGCUGGGACCACAGGCACACAUCACCAUGCCCAGCUAAUUUUUGUAUUUUUAGUAGAGAUGGGGUUUUACCAUGUUGGUCAGACUGGUCUCAAACUCAUGACCUUAGGCAAUUCACCCACCUCACCCUCCCAAAGUGCUGGGAUUACAGGUGUGGGACACCACGCCUGGUCAUAUUUGUCCUUUUAAAGAAUGAAUUAUCUAAGGAAUUGUGUAAUAAUACUCUAGGAUAAUUGGAUAAUGUCAUAAAAUAAAAUGAGCUUCUAGAUUGCGAAGUGACUUUCACUUGCUUUCCUGGGAAUUUUGUGCAAAAGCUCUUCUUCUAUGUAAACCUUGUUAUACUGCAAAUCCAUACAUUUCUUGCUUCUUCAUAAAAGUAAUUUGUAUUCCUUUAUACAUGAAAAAUAAAAGCUGAUACUUUGACUUGGUAUAGUCCUUAAAGUUCACUAAAAGUACGCAAACAGGAGCCCAUCUAAUCUCCAGAGCAAUCUGGUAUAGGAGGUAGAAUGGUAGAUUCUUUCCCCCAUUACAUGCCGCAUAACUAUAUAUGCAGCCAGGAUUUAAACCUGUGUUUCCUAAAGUAUAAAGAGAAAGGCUCAUCAUUCUACUUCACACUGUCCUCCAGUUAGCAAGUUUCUCAGAUAUCUUUCUACCUUAUUCCAUAUAAAGGCAAUUAUACAGACCGCAGGUAUUAAUCUUUAGCAUGCAGAUUUCCUAUACUUUUCAUAAAUACAUAGUUUGUCUGAGCUUGAAAUAUUCCUCAAAUCAUCUUGUCCAACUGUCUCACCUCAUACACUAGGACACUGCAUUCUGGGAAGCUGAUUUGCCUAUUGUGGUAUAUUUGCCCAAAGUGGUAUGCUAUUUUGUGAAAAAGGCCGGGAUGCAGAUGACAUGGUUUCUAUGCAGGGCUCUUCUCUCAACUCCACACUAGGUCCUUUUUUGGAGGACCAACAUUUCUCUCUGGUGUUCUGGAACUUUUAACAAUAAGAAUAUGAAAAAAUUAACAUAAUUACACAUCCAAUGAAAAAUUGUUAAGCAGAGUAAAUUACAUUACUUGGGUUUUGUCACUGUCAAAACAAGAUUGUUGCACACUGAUAAAUAUGGGGGCCCUCUGGCUAACAGUGCAGAGGAGAUAAUCGCAUCCAAAGCCUCACAUUAUGAAGCCUUAGGUCCACUUUCAUAAUUCCUACUAUCAGCAACCUAUAAAUAGAGUUUAUUAACAGACACUCAGAACAGUUUCACUGAAGCAGUGAAUUUCCAGAGUAGCUGGAAUUUCACAGCACCUUGAACAAAAUUCCAUAAGGUAUGUAGGUGUCAAUUUUCUCAUCUAUAAAAUGAGAUCUUAAGUAUUCUGCCUUAUCAACCUUCCAGAAUUGUGAGAAUUAAACAUGACACGAAAUGGGAGAAGCAUUCUUUAAGAAUGUAAGUCGAUAUAAAGAUAUUGUUAUAAAGCUCUUUUUUUCUGGGGAGAAUUACUGUUCCACAGAAGGAUUGACCCUCUAUCUUGGUUCAAUAGCCUCUGACUAAUCAACUAGGUCGACUUCUAUCUUUCUUAUUAUUGGAGAGAAGCAGACGAGUAUAAGAUCUCCACACAAGUACCCAUACUCCCUAGAAUAUCAUGUUUGGGAAAAUACAGAUUAUUUUGUUUUUGCUUUUGUGGUUUUGUUUCCAACAGAUAUUUUUUCUUGCCAUGUAUUUUAUUUAGUUUACAUACCUGGAGCACCUAUUAAGUGAUGGAGAAGUUGCAUGUCAUGCAUUUACAGUGUGUACAGGGAAGUCUAUGAGCCGAUCAGAAGUCUCAUAGAGUUCUCUGUCUACUUCACAGCAGUUAUACCUGGCCUUUUCUUGACUUAAUCUUAAUCAAGAUCCAACAAAGCCACUGGUACCUGCAUCUGUGAAGCACCAUCUUGACAACCCUCAAUGUUGUUACCUUUUAUUAAGAGUAGACACGAGGCCUUGAUAGACAAAAAGACUUAUUUGGGUCACAGAGCUAACUAACCCCAGCACUACACUGGAGUUGCUGAAAUAGAUGUUUACAGAGACUCUGUAUGGUACACUGGCAAGGACAAAUAAACCAGAAGUCGAGGGCUGUAUUCUAGUUUUCCCAACAUCAGCCACCAGCAGUGAGUUUGUGCAAAGCAUUUCUCCUCUAAACCAAAAUUCUGUUAGCUACAAAAUAAGGGAAUUAAGUUAAUAGGCCUUUUGGUCCCUUAAAAUGGAUCGAUUUGAGAACUGAACAAAAGCUUCAAUAGGGCAUGGUUUUUUUGUCUUGCUCAUGGCAUCACCCUCAGUUCCCAGAACAAUGCCUGAGCAUAGAGAAGGAGCUCAGUAAAUAUUUUAGUAAGUAAAUGAAUGAACGGUCAUUUGGGAAUAUUCCAAAAAGUCAUCCAACAGUAUCUACUCCAAUAGACAUACUCAAAAUUUCAUCAGCAUCCUUGGAUGGCCCCCAUCACUACACUAUUUCAGAAGCCUCCUCUCCAAAGGCCAGACUCCGUCUCUUUAUAGUGCCACUCUCUUCAUAGUCCUUAUCACUAUCUGAUACCACGUCAUAUAUUUAACUACCACACUUCUACCAUGCUUAUUAGUCAUUUCCCCACUAGUUUGUUCAAGACACAACUGCAUUUGCAGUCUCUGGAGCAGUGUUUAAGACACAACAGGCAAUCAAUAAGUAUUGGCUGCAUACAAAAUUAAAUAACAUUAACUAACCUAGAUUCAUCAAAUCAUCCUGCAACUUUUGUGUUUUUUAUUCUAUUUCUGCAAGAGUAUAUUUCUUAAAAAAAAAAAAAGUGCUACAUAUUUCCCCAGGAAUAUAAAUGAUCUGAAGUUAAUCACACAGCAUAGAAAUUAGGACAAUGCUCUUUUUACUUACAGCAUUUGUCUACCAUGGGUAACUAACCCAUCCAGGAGAAUAUCUAAAACCCGUGCUUAAGCAAUGAUGUUUUCAGCUAUGUGUAUACACAGUAAUGACUGCCUGCCUGCACAUUUCUGAUCAGAAUUAAACCAAUUUGAGUCAUCUAUUAGAAUCAAGAUCUGCAAGCAGAGACUAGAAAUACUCCCAAUACCAUUCCAUUCACAUGUUGGUUCCCUUCAGAGUUGUCUGAAACUCAGCCCUGCCAAGAUGUUUAUUAUCUACCUGGCUUUAUGAAUUACAAUUACUUCCUAAAUUAUAGUAAGCCACAAACAACUAGGGUCAUAGAAGGUCUUUCUUUGUACUCCUGGAGAUGACAGAAAAGCUUCUUUGAAUCAAACUUGAUCCUCUUUCAAAAGAAAGGGAUAACUUUAAGCCUGUAACUCCUGGGAGUGGCAAAGAGAAGAGCCAGAGGGCCAUGAGCUAACUUCAAUUCUCUAGAGAUCAGUUGAACAGAUUUGGCAAUCAUUUGGCUUCUGUUGAGAACAAGGCCUUCUAAUUAUAUUUCUGCCAAUAGAGAAAAGGCAGCACCAUGACUUAGGAAGGCUGCAAAGAGAUGCCAACAUCUGUGACUGUGGGGUUUCCUUCCGAACAGAACACUGCUGAUGUGUAUGUCAGAUACCUGGCUCUGGGACCCAUUCAUGUGAAUGAAAUCUCAUGAGGAGCUCAAAAGGAAGCUGGUUAUUUGCUUCACUUAAACUGUAUCUUGGCUGUAAUAUUUCUGACACUAGAAAUAAAAUAAUUCCAUGUUUCAAUUCCUCCCCCACCCUGCCAAAACUGAUUUGUAUUAACUAGGUAUGAAAGGCACAGCCCGGGAGUACAGGGUUUUUCAUUCUAUAACUGCUUAAAGACAAAAAAGGCAGGAAGUACAGAUGUUUUCUCCUUGCUGUUGAAAAAGAGUGGUGGACUAACUCUUUCAGCGUCUCUGGAAUGCAAAUUUUCUUUCACAGUUUAGCAGUCUUUUUUGGAUUUCAGCACAGUGAACUAACACUUUCCUGGAUUCCAAGACCUCCAGAGAACCAGAUGGAUGACAGAAAUUGGGAAAAAGAACCCACACUGCUUGAAAAAGGUAUGAAUUUCUCACUCUGCAUUUAGCCAAAAAGCACUGAAAAUUAAAAGAGUGAAAUCACUUGUGGUUUGUUCAAAUGCAUGCCAUUCUAGAGUUGUUUGCGGUGAGUAAAAACAAAAAGGAAAAGGAAAAGAAAAAAAUCUAAAGUGCUUCCAUGGUUGGGAGUCUGUGUUCAGUUGAAGCUAGGAAGCAAACUUUAACAGACAUGAUAUGUUUACUAUCAAAGGAAAGAAGGAUUGUAGAUGGAAGAGAUUACCGAAGAGGAUCAUUUUAUAUGCCUGUGCUCUGAAGCCAGUGACUGCUCCCCAAAGCCAAACGUUUUAACUAGAUGUUCAAGGCGCUUCAGGAUACUGUCCUACCUCCCCUGCCCAGGCACUUAUCCUAUCACCUCCCCCACAACUCAGUCUUUUUCCUGUCAACCCAAGCUUUUAAACACUUUCUGCUCAUUUUCUUUCAUGCCUUUCCAUCUACUGUUGCCCCUGUCUUGAACAUUUCUUAAUAAGUUAAAUACAUCAAAUUGUAAGGCCCAGGAUGUGUGAAGGUUAUCUCUUUCAUUAAUCACUCUCCUCUUCUAUUCUUUCACAGCACCAGAACAGAGACCCCAAAUACAGUGUUAUCUGUUCAUAUGCUAUAGCAGAUUGUAAUUUUCAAAGAUGACUACACCAAAAUGUAUCUCAUCUCGCAAUGUGAUACUAACAGUCCACCAGUAAGAGAGCUGAAGGCCUGCUGUGGUGACUCACACCUCCCAACACUUCGGGAGGCUGAGGCAGGAGUAUGACCUGAGACUAGGAGUUUGAGACCAGCCUGGGCAACAUAGCAAGACUCUAUCUCUACUAAAAAUUUAAAAACUUAGCCAGGCAUGCUGGCAUGUGCUUAUAGUCUCACCUACUCAGGAGACUGAGGUGGGAGGAUCACUUGAGCUCAGGAGCUUGAAGCUGUAGUGAGCGCUAAUCAUGCCACUGCACUCUAGCCUGGACAACAGAGCAAGACCCUGUCUGAAAAUAAUAUAAAACAAAACAACAGCAAGAAAAGAAAACAAACACAGAAAACAAACCAAACAAAACAUUAGACAUUAUUAGAAAAGGUAUGUCUAUUUUUAUGCAACUUGAAAUAACUCCUAUUCACAACUUAAUCUUUUUUUAAUUUAAGUUUUUUUUUUUUUACAAUUUAGUCUUUUAAAAUAAUUAAAACUGCAGCUCUUUCAAUCAAUUUUUUUCUUUUUUAAAUUAUAUUUUAAGUUUUGGGAUACAUGUGCAGAACAUGCAGGUUUGUUACAUAGGUAUACAUGUGCCAUGGUGGUUUGCUGCACCCAUCACCCUGUCAUCUAUAUUAAGUAUUUCUCCUAAUGCUAUCCCUUUCCUAGCACCCCACUCCCCAACAGGCCCCGGUGUGUGAUAUUCCCCUCCCUGUGUCCAUGUGUUCUCAUUGUUCAACUCCCACUUAUGAGUGAGAACAUGCUGUGCUUGGUUUUCUCUUUCUGUAUUAGUUUGCUGAGAAUGAUGGUUUCCAGCUUCAUCCAUGUCCCUGCAAAGACUUGAACUCAUCCUUUUCUAGUAUUCCAUGGUGUAUAUGUGCCACAUUUUCUUUAUCCACUCUAUCAUUGAUGGGCAUUUGGGUUGGUUCCAAGUUUUUGCUAUUGUGAACAGUGCUGCAAUAAACAUACAUGUGCAUGUGAAUUUAUAGUAGAAUGAUGUAUAAUCUUUUGGGUAUAUACCCAGUAAUGAAAUUGCUAGGUUACUGGUAUUUCUGGUUCUAGAUCUUUGAGGAAUCACCACACUGUCUUCCACAAUGGUUGAAGUAAUUUACACUCCCAUUAACAGUGUAAAAGCAUAUCUAUCUCUCCCAUCCUCUCCAGCAUCUGGUGGUUCCUGACUUUUUAAUGAUCGCCAUUCUAACUGGCUUGAGAUGGUAUCUCAUUGUGGUUUUGAUUUGCAUUUCUCUAAUGACCAGUGAUGAGCUUUUUCAUGUUUGUUAGCCACAUAAAUUUCUUCUUUUGAGAAGUGUCCUUUCAUAUUCUUCAUCCACUUUUUGAUGGGUUUGUUGUUUUUUUUUUCUUGUAAAUUUAAAUUCCAUGUAAAUUCUGGAUAGAAGCCUUUUGUCAGGUAGAUAGAUUGCAAAAAUUUUCUCCCAUUCUGUAGGUUACCUGAUAGUUUCUUUUGCUGUGCAGAAGCUCUUUAGUUUAAUUAGAUCCCAUUUGUCAAUUUUGGCUUUUGUUGCCAUUGCUUUUAGUGUUUUAGUCAGGAAGUCUUUGCCCAUGCCUAUGUCCUGAAUGGUAUUGCCUAGGUUUUCUUCCAGGGUUUUUAUGGUUUUAGGUCUUAUAUAUAUGACAAACUCACAGCCAAUAUUACACUGAAUGGGCCAAAGCUAGGAGGAUUCCCUUUGAAAACUGGCACAAGACAAGGGUGCCUUCUCUCCCCACUCCUAUUCAACACCGUAUUGGAAGUUCUGGCUAGGGCGAUCAGGCAAGAAAAAGAAAUAAAGAAUAUUCAAAUGGGAAGAGAGGAAGUCAAAUUGUCUCUGUUUGCAGAUGACAUAAUUGUAUAUUUAGAAAACUCCAUCGUCUCAGCCCAAAAUCUCCCUAAGCUGAUAAGCAACUUCAGCCAAGUCCCAGGAUACAAAAUCAAUGUGCAAAAAUCACAAGCAUUCCUAUACACCAAUAAUAGACAAACAGCCAAAUCAUGAGUGAAAUUCCAUUUGCAAUUGCUACAAAGAUAAUAAAAUAUCUAGGAAUACAACUCAAUCAAUUUCUCACAUAGAAAAGUUUAAAGAACAAUUUCAGGGGAGGAAGGAAUAUUUGAAGUCAUCUGUUUCAAGCAAAUAACUGGGUAGUUAAAACAAAUUCAGAAAGGGCAGGUGACCUUACUGGAAGAGGCCGGAGUAGAAUUGUUAAGUUGAGAGGAUGUGCUCUUUUCACUGUACCACACAUACCCUUAUGACAUCGAGAGAUGUCUUAAACCCAGCCCACCUUCAGACAUCUACCUUCCUAAAGCCCUAUGUCCAAAAACACAAAUCACAGAGAUUGUUUUUCUAAGGGGCCUUCCAUAUCGCUGAUGAAAACACUUCACAAGGACUCAUGAACACAUGCUAUCAAUAGGCUGGUCUUAAUGACUGGCCUACAGUUAAUGACAGCUGGUGGUCUCCUAAUUCUCCUGCCAUGGCUAGGGACAGUCUGAUGACCCACAUAGCACACAGCACAUCCUGCAUUGGGACUCAGGAGGAAGAAAAGCGAGUUCCAAACAAAGCAUCAUUUUCCCAAGUGUUUUGGAUGCCUGCCACAUCAGAUGCCUCUACCUUUAAUAUAGAAUGAGCCUCAGCUUGCUCUGGAGGCCAAAGAGUGCCAGAAACAAGGCUGGAGGUGGAAAAGAAUGUUGCUGGAUUUCAGAACAGGCUGGAAUACUAGUACUGUCACAUGUAAUUUCACAUGAUUGGCAAGCCACUUCACUGGUAAUUUCCUUAUGUGUAAGAUGAGAAUAAUAAUGACCCUUUGAUUGCUUGGGGCCAGGAGUUCAAAACCAGCAUGGGCAACAUAGUGAUAUCCCAUCUAUAUAAAAUUAAAAAACAAAAAUAGUUAGGUAAGGUCAUGCAUACCUGUAGUCCCAGUUACUUGUGAGGCCAAGGUGGAAAAAUCACUUGACCCCAGGAUGUUGGGGUUGCAGUGAUCGAUGAUGUACCACUGCAGUCCAGCCUGGGCAACAGAGCAAGACUCUGUCUAAAUAAAUAAAUAAAGUCCUUUUGUGGGGUUGAGAGAGCUAAACAUAUGGGAGAAGCCAAAGUCCAGUCCUCUAGAGAUGCACAAGAUUCACCAUUACAAAGGAUGGUGUAAAGCCUUCCCGUAUCCUUGGGAGUGUCAAUAUGGCUUCCUUUUGCAUUUUCAGUAUUUAUUCUCUAAGUCCAAGAGGAAGACAUGGUUUUUAUAUAGGUAAAACAUAGCUUCCAGUCACCCCCAAUUCUCUCUUGAAUUCUCAGAUACUGGUUUCAAAAUUGAACAGGGAUAUAACAAAGAUCUGAACAUGUUACUCUCUGACCUCAUCAAUAGCUGGAAAAAGAAAGAAAUCCUGGGUUUCUUAGACUAGGAAGGAAUAGGAAAAAGAAGACUGAAAACAACAACCACAACAAAACUAUGUCCAUCCCUGCACCUUAUAACUUUGCUGUUUACUCAAAUAAACAACCCUUUAGCAGAUGUGUUAGUGCAGUCUGACAAUGAUUACAUUUACGGCUAGUAAUAUGAGUGAUGAACUAAAUGUUUGCUGAAAGCUUGGGGGCUCUAACUAUAGAAUAAACAUCAGUUAUCCUUGUUGACAUCAUAAUGGAGCUGUGGGGUUUGAAAUCUAACCUGGAGUAACAACCGAUCCUUACAGUAAGAUUUCAGAUAUUUAGAUAAGACUCUAUUAAAACAGCAAUAAAAAUGUUUCCCUGUUUAUAUACUGCACUGUAGGCACGUAGGACAGUUUCAGAGUUAAAAGCAGCUUUGUGUAACUCAAAUGCCUUUCCCUACUUGUAGGUGCAGUCAGGGUUCUCUCUUUCCUAGAGAAUGUUAGGUAAAAGAAGAAAUACUCUGAUGAUUUCAUCAGGUGGUAAGAAGUGUGGAAGAUACCAUCACAAAUUCAGCUUCUUUUAAUUAAAAAAAAAAUUUUAAAAAAGUUUUCUUUUGGGAUACAU